AGAUGUCAGUGAUUUGGCUGUAAUAUCUGUUGCACCCUUUGAUUGCUAGUGUUGAUUCAGCUCAUCCAACUGGCUUUAAGUUUGUUCCAUUCCUCCCCAACCCUUCCAUGGGCAUACAUGCCUCCUGGUGCUACAUGGUUAGUUCAGGAAGACAGCCUUCUCAGAUAGUAGAGGGCCUUUCUCUAGUCAGGGGUAUAUGCAUACCUGCACUCUCCUGUUAGAACAUCUAAAAGAGUAUUCAAAAUAAAAACCAUUUUACUUAUUCAAAUGUAGUAUCAUGAGGAGACAAAUUAAAAAAGAAAAAAAUGAAAUACAAGUUGUUU
ensembl:misc_RNA predicted gene, 26024